UACAGAGGGUGCGAGCGUUAAUCGGAGUUACUGGGCGUAAAGGGCGCGUAGGCGGUUUUUCAAGUCGGAUGUGAAAUCCCCAGGCUCAACCUGGGAACUGCAUUCGAGACUGGAUUACUAGAGUAUGGGAGAGGGAAGUGGAAUUUCCGGUGUAGCGGUGAAAUGCGUAGAUAUCGGAAGGAACAGCAGUGGCGAAAGCGACUUCCUGGACCAAUACUGACGCUCAUGUGCGAAAGCGUGGGGAGCAAACAGG
rnacentral:rRNA from 1 species